GUCAGGGUUGGGUUGGGGGUCUUUUGGGGUCGAUGGAAGCAUCAGAAGAACUUUAGGAAUGUCUGUAUGGGAUUUGGGCCAUCCUUUGGCACAUCUGGGGCCAUGUGGGGCCACCCCACACCCUCCAGGCCGACCCUGGUGGUAUUUAUGGGGUCUGGGUUGGGUUUGGGGACACCUGGGGUCAUCCCAUGCCGUAUGGGAUGGUCCUGGGGGUGUUUAUGGGGUCAGGAUUGUCUUUUGGGACAUCUGGGUUCAUCCCAUGCCCUAUGGGAUUGUCCUGGGGGUGUUUAUGGGGUCAGGGUUGGGUUUGUGGUCUUUUGGGGUCGAUGGAAGCAUCAGAAGAACUUUAGGAAGGCCUGUAUGGGAUUUUGGCCAUCCUUUGGCACAUCUGGGGCCAUGUGGGGCCACCCCACACCCUCCAGGCCGACCCUGGUGGUAUUUAUGGGGUCUGGGUUGGGUUUGGGGACACCUGGGGUCAUCCCAUGCCCUAUGGGAUUGUCCUGAAGGUGUUUAUGGGGUCAGGGUUGGGUUUGGGGAUACCUGGGGUCAUGCCAGGCCUUAUGGGGUGAUCCUGGGGGUGUUUAUGGGGUCAGGGUUGGGUUUGGUGACAUCUGGGUUCAUCCCAUGCCUUAUGGGGUGAUCCUG
ensembl:lncRNA